rnacentral:rRNA from 1 species
CAAUAGCGUAUAUUAAAGUUGUUGCGGUUAAAAAGCUCGUAGUUGGAUUUCUGCUGAGAACGACCGGUCCGCCCUUUGGGUGUGUAUCUGGCUCUUUCUUGGCAUCUUCUUGGUGAACGUUGCUGCACUUGACUGUGUGGAGCGCUACCCAGGACUUUUACUUUGAGGAAAUUAGAGUGUUUCAAGCAGGCAUACGCCUUGAAUACAUUAGCAUGGAAUAAUAAGAUAGGACCUCGGUUCUAUUUUGUUGGUUUCUAGAGCUGAGGUAAUGAUUAAUAGGGAUAGUUGGGGGCAUUCGUAUUUAACUGUCAGAGGUGAAAUUCUUGGAUUUGUUAAAGACGGGCUACUGCGAAAGCAUUUGCCGAGGAUGUUUUCAUUGA